rnacentral:tRNA from 1 species
GGGGAUAUAGCUCAGUUGGUAGAGUGCUUGCCUCAAAUGCAAAGGCCCUGGGUUUGAUCCCAGCACCAUCA